GAUGGAGGAGUUUGUUGGAUAAAUAGACGGUGAAUUUUCGCUUUCAUCAUACAUCUCGCUUAUUCUUACCGCUCGUCCAAGUCGUAACAAACUUGAGAACUGAACCAUCCUCAACAUGAUCUUGAAACUCUUGUUUUUGGUGAAUAUCAUUUUGAUUCUAUCAACUGUACUUCAGGCGAAGCCCGCCCCACUGACGAGAUUGAUUGAACUCCAAAAUGAAUUUAUACAGGGAUUUCAGACGGCUUUUCUUCGGAUGCGCUAAAAUGACCACUCACUUCUCACAUACCCAGUUGUAAUCUUAUUUCAAAUACACUCUGAAUAAUCUUAAACAACUCUAUCAUUGAGAAUGAGUUAUUCCAGUAAUACUGCACUGAAAUAUCAUAAAAGAUUAUUUAUUCAAUUGAUUGUUGAAGAAGUUGCAAUAGGUCUGUGAGGAGGUAGCCCAGUGAAUUAAUAAAGAUUGAAUGAGCA